GUGACACAGCUGUGUCCCAGCUGUCCCCGUGUCCCCGCUGUCCGUCACUGUCCCCAGCUGUCCCAGGUGUGACCCAGGUGUGACACAGCUGUCCCCAUGUCCUGGUGUCCCCAUGUCUGUCACUGUCCCCCAAACAGGUCCUCGUUGUCCCCGUGUCCCCGAUGUCCCCAGCUGUCCCCAGGUGUGACCCAGGUGUGACCCAGGUGUGUCCCUCACUGUCCCCCGAACAGGUCCUCGUUGUCCCCGUGUCCCCAGGUG